UACGCAGGGGGCUAGCGUUGUUCGGAAUUACUGGGCGUAAAGGGCUCGUAGGCGGCCAACUAAGUCAGACGUGAAAUCCCCAGGCUCAACCUGGGAACUGCGUCUGAUACUGGAUGGCUUGAAUUCGGGAGAGGGAUGCAGAAUUCCAGGUGUAGCGGUGAAAUGCGUAGAUAUCUGGAGGAAUACCGGUGGCGAAGGCGGCAUCCUGGACCGACAUUGACGCUGAGGAGCGAAAGCUAGGGGAGCAAACGGG
rnacentral:rRNA from 1 species